rnacentral:misc_RNA from 1 species
AGAAUCCUCAAAACAGUCAAAGUUCUCUUCUAUUGGUUCUAGCUUCAAGCAACAACUGCAGUCUUUGCUUGAAACUCUGAAUGCAACGGAACCCCAUUAUAUUCGAUGUGUGAAGCCAAAUAAUCUGCUAAAGCCCUCUAUCUUUGAGAAUCACAAUGUUCUGCAACAGCUGUGCUGUGGGGGAGUGAUGGAAGCAAUAAGAAUAAGCUGUGCUGGAUAUCCUACUCGGAGACCCUUUUAUGAAUUUUUAGAUCGCUUUGGCAUCCUUUCGCCUGAAGUUUUAGAUG